rnacentral:rRNA from 1 species
CUCAGGAUGAACGCUAGCUACAGGCUUAACACAUGCAAGUCGAGGGGCAGCAUGGUCUUAGCUUGCUAAGGCCGAUGGCGACCGGCGCACGGGUGAGUAACACGUAUCCAACCUGCCGUCUACUCUUGGACAGCCUUCUGAAAGGAAGAUUAAUACAAGAUGGCAUCAUGAGUCCACAUGUUCACAUGAUUAAAGGUAUUCCGGUAGACAAUGGGGAUGCGUUCCAUUAGAUAGUAGGCGGGGUAACGGCCCACCUAGUCUUCGAUGGAUAGGGGUUCUGAGAGGAAGGUCCCCCACAUUGGAACUGAGACACGGUCCAAACUCCUACGGGAGGCAGCAGUGAGGAAUAUUGGUCAAUGGGCGAGAGCCUGAACCAGCCAAGUAGCGUGAAGGAUGACUGCCCUAUGGGUUGUAAACUUCUUUUAUAAAGGAAUAAAGUCGGGUAUGGAUACCCGUUUGCAUGUACUUUAUGAAUAAGGAUCGGCUAACUCCGUGUCAGCAGCCGCGGUAAUACGGAGGAUCCGAGCGUUAUCCGGAUUUAUUGGGUUUAAAGGGAGCGUAGAUGGAUGUUUAAGUCAGUUGUGAAAGUUUGCGGCUCAACCGUAAAAUUGCAGUUGAUACUGGAUAUCUUGAGUGCAGUUGAGGCAGGCGGAAUUCGUGGUGUAGCGGUGAAAUGCUUAGAUAUCACGAAGAACUCCGAUUGCGAAGGCAGCCUGCUAAGCUGCAACUGACAUUGAGGCUCGAAAGUGUGGGUAUCAAACAGGAUUAGAUACCCUGGUAGUCCACACGGUAAACGAUGAAUACUCGCUGUUUGCGAUAUACAGCAAGCGGCCAAGCGAAAGCGUUAAGUAUUCCACCUGGGGAGUACGCCGGCAACGGUGAAACUCAAAGGAAUUGACGGGGGCCCGCACAAGCGGAGGAACAUGUGGUUUAAUUCGAUGAUACGCGAGGAACCUUACCCGGGCUUAAAUUGCAGAUGAAUUACGGUGAAAGCCGUAAGCCGCAAGGCAUCUGUGAAGGUGCUGCAUGGUUGUCGUCAGCUCGUGCCGUGAGGUGUCGGCUUAAGUGCCAUAACGAGCGCAACCCUUGUUGUCAGUUACUAACAGGUUCCGCUGAGGACUCUGACAAGACUGCCAUCGUAAGAUGUGAGGAAGGUGGGGAUGACGUCAAAUCAGCACGGCCCUUACGCCCGGGGCUACACACGUGUUACAAUGGGGGGUACAGAGGGCCGCUACCACGCGAGUGGAUGCCAAUCCCAAAAACCUCUCUCAGUUCGGACUGGAGUCUGCAACCCGACUCCACGAAGCUGGAUUCGCUAGUAAUCGCGCAUCAGCCACGGCGCGGUGAAUACGUUCCCGGGCCUUGUACACACCGCCCGUCAAGCCAUGGGAGCCGGGGGUACCUGAAGUGCGUAACCGCGAGGAG